CAUAGUUUGCCAGCCUUCGUCGUUACAGGAACCACCAAUGAAAGAAACAUUCACACGAUGUACGUGCGUAAACAAAGAAACUGCCUCUUACGUGGACCCCACAGAAAGCCUAUAAAAGGCCCCUCUACCGACCACGCACGGUCGCCCUCGACCUCCACCCCCCUUUCUACGCUCUAAACAAAUCACCACUUUAAAUCUCAGCUCUCAUCGAACUUCCAAUCUCCAAUUCCAAUUUCAAACAACUCAGGAAACAUGAUCGAACAGAAACCGUACAUCAAGAAGAAGCUCCGGUCAAAACGACCUCGUUUGCUUCGAUCAAAGAUCUCUCCGGUACUUUACGACACCGAUACUAGAGGCGUCUCUGUAGUCUCCUGCGAUUCCAGCUCCUGCACUUACUUCGGUGGCGAUGAAGUUUCUUCUAGCUCAAGAAAGAGACAACUCGGUGAAGUUAUCGGAGUGACGAAGAAGACUGAAGAUGACGCGCGGUUGCGGAGGAUCACGAGGUCUUACUAUAAGCGACGGAAGGAAAAAGAUGAGGUUAGUGAGUCGUCUUGUGUUCUCACAAACUCCGGAACUGUUUUUGCAGAGGUAAGUUCCAAGUUCAAUGAAGGUUAUGAAGACGCCAAAGAAAAUGAACAAAACGGCGUUUCACGAUCCAAUGAUAUUUUCAGAAUCAGUGCUGGUAAUUGGAAAACUUCGUCGGAGAGGAAUGAAAACAACAUCGACGUUGUUUCAGUUCCUUCACGUGUUGAAAAUGAAAACAGAGCAUCACUAAGGCAUGAACUAUCUGAUAAUUUCAAAAACGAUGCUGCUAAUUCGUGUUUCAUGAUUUCAAAAUCGGAUUCUGUGGUGGACGAAAAGCCAAGCGGCCCUAAAUUCGAUUCCGAUCUCGCGUGUACGGAGGAGCUAUCAUACGACGAUGUAUGCGAGUGCUCUUCGAGUCAUGGUACUGUAUUUUCUGAGCUGCAAUUCGAUUUUUUCCCAGAGAAUGCGGACCCCAAUUUGUCGGAUUGCACUCGGUCUAUUUUCAAUUUUGAUUCUGAAAGCCAAUCGUCUGAGAUAUCUGUUGACUGUCCUAGCCCUCCGUCACUUACUUACUCUCUGUUCCUGGAGUUCAGUAAGCAGUUCUCAAGAUCGACUAUUCCUCUAGAUUCCAGAAAUUGUUCUAUAGUUCAAGAAAAGCAUCUACAUCAGUCUGCAUUGGUGACAUUCGUAAAUGAGGAGGACGAAGAGAGUUAUCAGAGGAUACGUGAAAGGGAGAGAAGACAAUUGUUCUUGUAUGACUACCCCGAUGAAUACCUUUCAAGUACAGAAUUCGGCAGUCUCAUUGUCCAACAACGGUCGGAGAUGGUCCACUGGAUCGUCGAGCAAUGCGGUGCCAAGGAGUUACAGCAGGAAACAAUGUUUCUUGGAGUUAGCCUUUUAGAUCGGUUUCUAAGCAGGGGUUUCUUCAAAACCAGAAAGAACCUUCAAAUUGUUGGAAUAGCCUGUCUUGUAUUGGCCACUAGACUUGAAGAAAAUCAGCCCUACAAUAGUGUGCGACAAAAUAUUUUCUGCGUAGGGAGCAACAUUUACAGCAAAAAUGAAGUGGUAGCCAUGGAGUGGUUGGUGCAGCAGGUCCUUAACUUUCAGUGUUUCUUGCCUACAAUUUAUAACUUUCUGUGGUACUACCUGAAAGCUGCCGGAGUUGACGCCGAACUGGAGAAGAUGGUCAAGUACUUGGCAGUUCUAGCUCUAUCAGACCAUGAGCAGCUGUCCUAUUGGCCCUCAACAGUUGCAGCUGGCCUUGUCAUCCUAGCUUCUCUAGAAAGCAGGGGAGAUUCCUCCUACCUAAAAGUCAUCGAGAUUCAUGUUAGAACAAAAGAUAAUGACUUACCUGAUUGCAUAAAGAGCCUGGAGUGGUUGGUACAGCAUAUAAGCUAGGUAGCUUACAAGGAGGAACCUGACAUGAACAUCGUGUUCUGUGUUUGCUACUGAAGGUAAAAAUCAAAAGAAAUCUUUGGAAACACACUCCAGUAAUAGGAAACAAAACGAGGAAGCUACUCCAUUGACUGAUGUUGUCCACACGACUUCAGAAAAGAAGGAACAGAACAUGAAAGCUACUACAUAAAAUCAGUCUGAAAUUCGGAGUAACUAGAAAAGAGUGAAAGAAAGUAAGAAUUUUACAUGAUCUUUGAACAAAUAAAAGAUCUCUUUAUUGGUAGUCAGUGCCAUUAUUUUGUAAAUGGCCAUGAAUGGAGGGAUUCAAAAUGAUAAAUCAAAUAAUACACCUCUAAAGGAUCAUCCGUCUCUUACUGCAAAUGGACAAUCAACAAUGCCAAGAUCAACCUACCUCAAAUCAUGACGCUACCCUUUAGACGUUCUUGCAAGAAUUGUUUUAUCUUGGAUGUUCAUUGCAAAUAGGAGGCAAUUCUCACGAGUUUCUUCAGCCAAUAGCUCAGCAAGACUUUUAUCUAGACUAUAACUUCAUCUACGAUUAAGAAUUGAGGCUCUAAUUUGUUCAAACUCGGGCCUCAUUUUCAUAAAAAAAUUGUGGACAACGAGAUUGUUGCUUAAAUAAUUACGGUUUCAAGAGCA